CCCGAUGCGAUCAUAUGUGCUAAUGUGCGCCUACAGGAUUCCAGUCCGAUUGCCUAUUGCUUACAAUUCUUCAACUGAGACAAGAUGACGGUUUGACCGUGUUGAAGAGGAGUGGACAUCUUCUCUUUCCGCAGCUCAUGAGCCACGCUUCUCAUGGAUGGCCUGGACUUUGGAUCGACGCGCACGCACGCCAACGCGGUCGCCGCCACUCUCACAAUCUUCUCCGCCAGGCCGCGGUCUUCGUCGGGAAACGGAAGGCGCGGAUCCAACACAUCUCUCAGCAGUAGCGCAGACUGCUCAUCGCUCGACUCCGACGAAGACAGAGACAAAAUGAGCUCCCCUGGGUGCCUUCCCAGGAGAAGCUCGAGCGCCACCGCGCCAAAGCUGGCACAAAUUCAAUUGGCGUGUUUAGGGCCAAGUUUUGUUCGUACCUGGUGCUAGGUAUCCGAGGGUUCCGACCAGCGCGGACCAGUUGGAGGAGUCGAGCUUGAUGAGCUUGGCGGUGGCGAAAUCGGAGAGGCAGGCCCUGAACUCCGCAUCGAACAGGAUCUUGCUGGACACGUCGCGGUGCACCACCGGGGGGCUGCAGUCGUGGUGCAGGUAGCUGAGGGCGUCGGCGACGUCCCUCGCCGCCGCCGCCCGCCUCUCCCAGCCCAGCUCCGCCGCCCGGCCGUCGUGCUCCAGCAUCUCCGCCAGGCUCCCCCUCGCCAUAUGCUCGCACACCAGGAACAUCCACUUCGAGUGCGCGCAGAAGCCGUACAGCUUCACCACGUUGCGGUGCCGCAGCCGCGUCAGCGCCUUGAUCUCGUUCCUGAAUCCCUUUUCGUCCAGCAGCAGCCCCCCGCCGCCGCGGUCGCCGUCUGCGAAGUGGAACCGCUUCACGGCCACCACCUGCCCCGUCGGGAGCUCUGCUUGGUACACGCUGCCGCUGGCGCCGACGCCGAGGCAGUAGGCGUCGUCGAAGUCCUCCGUCGCGUCGAUGAUGUCGCCGAACACCGUCCUCCCGUCGUAGUUCCAGAUUGAGAACAAAUCCAGGUUGUUAUUUCUGAAAUCGCCUUUUUCUUCUUGCUUCAGCGCGUGUAUUCUUUUGCGACGACCACGAACGCAGACGUAUAUGACUGCGACUGCCAUCGCCAAACAGAUUGGAACAGAGAUGAAGAUAAUAACUCGGAAUCCAUUUUCUGCUUUAUGAUCGGGAUCAGAAGGCAUACUCUCUCCGUAUUCACUCUUACAAUCUCAAAGAUACUACAAAUGAAGCAACGGAAAUGAGAGAGAAUUUAGAGUUUGCAUCCAAAUGGAUCGAAGAAAAACUUAGAGGCAGAACUAAUUGUGAGUGCUUAAUUCAGAGGAUAAAAGACUUGCGAAGUCAAUCGUAAGCUUAUGGAAGACUCAAUAUGACCAAACCAUACAGUUUCUUUGGAAAUUUUGAACCUUUCAAAGUCUUGUGGGAGACUUUUUUUUUGGAAUUUGCAGACUGUCUUAAUGACGAGUCUAAUCGAAGAAGAAACUUGGCAAUAAUAUUAGUAGUCAUGUAUGUGAGCAAAUCACGGGUAUUGCCGGCGUUGCUCUGAGUCAAUGGUCAACGUUCCUAUGGCUAGCGUGUCCUUGUGUUCAUUGAGGGAAGAAGAGAAGAAAAUAGAAAUUUGAAUCGUAAUCUCUCAUAGCUUUGAGAUACAUGACGAAUGCACAAACUCAACUUUGAGAAAAUAAAAAUGAAUUUAAUAUCAUAUUUCGUCAUGCUCUGGUUGACAUAUAUUGAACUGCAGAUGGUAUCAAAUAGUCUAGAAGGCUGAACAAAAGGAAAGGAAACAACAAUGGAGAUCAUCAAAGCUUUCAACUCUUCCACACAAAUGACCUCCAUAAUCUUUCACCAUGGCUCAGAAGUUUGGCCCUGCGGCAAGGAUCUCGUCGGUCAGAUUGCCAUCCUGACCAAUCU